UAUAUAUAUAUAUAUAUAUAUCUAUGAGUCGAAUUUAUGAAUAUGUCUAGUCGCGCCCCUAAUUAGAUGAAUAAAUUUAUACUAGAUUUUAAUGUAUUCUCAUUAUAAAUGUAUAUUUCUCUUAAAUUAAUUAUUCUACAUGGACUUUAUUAUUUAUUCACUUUUGUUGGGCUGAAAAUUUAAUAAAAGCCCAUAGCAAUUUUAUCUUCACCCAUUCAUUUUCACUAUUCUUAAUUUGGGAUAGCAACGUGUUUCCUUCCGUUUAGCCACAAUUUGAUUUACUACUCAGCCACUUAUUUAUUUAACUUUGAAUAGCAUGUACUCUUAUUUAUUAAGUAACCAAAUUAUUAUAUAUCAAAGAUUUCAUAUUAUUUAUCUUCACUGUUCUUUUUUAAAAUUCCUUUUCAAAAUGAAAAUGUGCAAAAAAUCCCAUUUAUCCAACCACAACCGCCAUACUCCUCUUUAUCCCCAUUUAUCACCGCCAUACAUUUUUAUAUAUAUCAGAUUCAUUCACCUAUAGUAUAUUAUUUCAUCCUUUUCUACAUCUACAUCUCUAAUUUGCAAAACGUAAACUUAUCCAGCAAGAAAAUCAAGUUCUUUCCUUCCACUGUAGAGGUGCGGCGCGACUAGGACGUUACUUUUGAUUGAAUUUCUCAAAUUUAGCUUUCAAGUUGAAAUUCAAGUUCAAGUUCAAAAUUCAGGUGUGGGAUUUAUUUCAGUACAUGCCCGUGGUUAAUUCUUGUCCAUUUUAAUAUCAUGUGUUUACCAUAUGUGAGUUGCAUUAAAUUAUAUCGCUAGGGGCCCGCUCAAUGGGUCCAGGACUUCACCGUCCUUGGUAUGCCACAAUGCGAUUUCAUGUUAAAGUUAUGGUUGCAACCAGUCGCCAGGGGCCGGCUCAAUCGGUCCAGGACGGAAAGGUCCUUGGUAUGCCACCGUGCGACUUUCAGUCACGAAUGUAUUGAUCAUAUGUGAUUCUCAUUUUAUUAACGUGGACAAUGAUUGCAUGUU